rnacentral:rRNA from 1 species
CAGGCCUAACACAUGCAAGUCGAACGAUGAAGCCAGCUUGCUGGUGGAUUAGUGGCGAACGGGUGAGUAACACGUGGGCAACCUGCCCCCGGCUCUGGGAUAACUCCAAGAAAUUGGUGCUAAUACCGGAUAUUCUUCUUUGACCGCAUGGUCGUUGGAGGAAAGUUUUUCGGCUGGGGAUGGGCCCGCGGCCUAUCAGCUUGUUGGUGGGGUGAUGGCCUACCAAGGCGACGACGGGUAGCCGGCCUGAGAGGGUGACCGGCCACACUGGGACUGAGACACGGCCCAGACUCCUACGGGAGGCAGCAGUGGGGAAUAUUGCGCAAUGGGCGGAAGCCUGACGCAGCGACGCCGCGUGAGGGAUGACGGCCUUCGGGUUGUAAACCUCUUUCAGCAGGGACGAAGCGGAAGUGACGGUACCUGCAGAAGAAGCACCGGCCAACUACGUGCCAGCAGCCGCGGUAAU